AGACUUGCUUUUGAUUCUGCCUAAGACGCAGCUCAGCUGCAGAGAGGCAGUGUGUGCUUUUGGAGCACGGGAAAGAUGCCGGAAAGCUCCGAUGGAAUGUGACUGAUUUACUGCUUUGUAAAUAAAGGCUUCUAGAGUUAAGAACCGAACUGUCUUUGGACUUGAUUUAUCCCUCAUCUCACACGGACGCAGGACCGCUGCUACUCUGCAUUUUCUGCCAGGUCAGCCUCAAGCCCCAAAGCAGAGCUGCACAGGGGAAGCGCUGACUGGACGCAGGAAUUAAUGUCCCCAAAGGUUAUGGAAGGUCCGCGUUUCCUGCCAUGUGUGAGGAGGGAAGAAGGCUGCCAGCUUUGAACUCCUGCCAGGAAGGGCAGUGGGAGACGCUGGUGGAGAGCGGAGCCAAGAGGAGGCUGCUGCUUCGGAGGACCAGCUAGCUGGCAAACGUGUGAGUACGCUUAAAGCCCCGGGGGGAGGAAGAUGGCUGCUGCUCAGCCACAGCAAGGCCAUGAGAGCUACCCCGGUGAAAGACUGCAUGGGGCCAAUUGGGAAGCCUGGAGUAAGCGCAUGUACUACUGGCUGGAAGAAAGGAAGCUUUGGGAUUGCACGCAAGCCGAUCCAGUUUUUGCCCAGCCCAGUGAGAGGUCUGCAGGAGCAGUGGAAGCUUGUGAGGCAGAUGUGGUUGUUGCUCUGGAAAGAGAGCAAAGGGUGCUAGCCAUUUUAAGGGCCAGCGUUGAAGCUUGGCUGUUGCCAAACCUCCAAGGGAAGAAGCCCUGGGUCGCGUGGCAGGCACUGAAGACGGCAUGUCAAGCCUCAGUGGGAGCCAGACCAGAGGGGGCUGGAGGAUGCCCAGAGAAAGCACCAAGUCCAGAGGGGGCUGGGACUGUUUUGGGAAGCUGUUUCUAUGCUUCAACACAUCUGUGUGAUGGACUGUGUGCUGGAGAGAGGCUGAGAGCUGGGAAGAGGAAGGCAGUUGCAGUCCAUUCCUCAGGCAGCUGGGCACCCAACAGUGGGGGUGCAGGCCGUUCCAAGAGCUCUGGGAAAGCCAAAGUCUCCAAGAGUCAUUUGUGCUCUGAGGCGAUGUCCAACAGCGAAGGGCAUUGUUCUGCAGAGGCCCAGGAAGGCAAGGACACCGGCCGGAGAGGAAUGUCAACAAAGCAGAUAAGCGGCGGUUCCAGGGCCGGUUCCCAGCAGAAAGCAGCAGGGGCCAGGAGAAAAACAAAGAAAGCAGCAGGCCAGGAGAAAAACAAAGACAAGGCGUCUUAUCACCUCAUAGCUGUGAUGGCGUCUCUGGGAAGAUGGAUGGCAGCUAACAUAUUAAAGUUGAAUGCUGAUAAGGCAGAUGUCCUGUUUUUGGGGGCCAGGAGGCAGGCAGAUGUGGAGGACUCCCUGGUCCUGAUUGGGGUAACUGUGCCCCUAAAGGACCAGGUGCGCAGACUGGGAGUCAUUUUGGACUCACAGCUGUCCAUGGAGGCACAGGUCAAUUCUGUGUCCAGGGCAGCUGUUUACCAGCUCCAUCUGGUACGCAGGCUGAGACCCUAUCUGCCCGCAGACUGUCUUGCCAGAGUAGUGCAUGCUCCAGUUAUCUCCCGCUUGGACUACUGCAAUGCGCUCUACGUGGGGCUACCUUUGAAGGUGAUCCGGAAACAACAACUAAUCCAGAAUGCGGCAGCUAGACUGGUGACGGGAGGAGAGUCUCCACCCCCACUGAUCUGCCUGGACAUGGAGGUCCAGUACCAAGAGCCUUCUGGCGGUUCCCUCACUGUGAGAAGCGAAGUUACAGGGAACCAGGCAGAGGGCCUUAUCGGUAGUGGUGCCAUCCCUGUGGAAUACCUUCCCAAAAGAUGUCAACAGAAAAAACAGCCACCAGACUUUAAAAGACAUCUGAAGGCUGUCCUGUUUAGGGAAGCUUUUAAUAUCUGAAGGACUAUUGUAUUUCAAUAUUUUGUUGGAAGCCACCAAGAUUGGCGGGGGAAAUCCAGCCAGAUGGGCGUGGUACAAAUAAAAAUAUUUUUAUUAUU